rnacentral:rRNA from 1 species
GAAGCGAUUCCGGCUACGGAUGGUCAUGCGUCGCAUUAGCUUGUUGGCGGGGUAACGGCCCACCAAGGCGACGAUGCGUAGGGGUUCUGAGAGGAAGGUCCCCCACACUGGUACUGAGACACGGACCAGACUCCUACGGGAGGCAGCAGUGAGGAAUAUUGGUCAAUGGCCGCAGGGCUGAACCAGCCAAGUCGCGUGAGGGAUGACGGUCCUAUGGAUUGUAAACCUCUUUUGUCAGGGAGCAAAGGGCGCCACGUGUGGCGUUUUGCGAGUACCUGAAGAAAAAGCAUCGGCUAACUCCGUGCCAGCAGCCGCGGUAAUACGGAGGAUGCGAGCGUUAUCCGGAUUUAUUGGGUUUAAAGGGUGCGCAGGCGGAAUGUCAAGUCAGCGGUAAAAUUUCGGGGCUCAACCCCGUCGUGCCGUUGAAACUGGCGUUCUUGAGUGAGCGAGAAGUAUGCGGAAUGCGUGGUGUAGCGGUGAAAUGCAUAGAUAUCACGCAGAACUCCGAUUGCGAAGGCAGCAUACCGGCGCUCAACUGACGCUCAUGCACGAAAGCGUGGGUAUCGAACAGGAUUAGAUACCCUGGUAGUCCACGCAGUAAACGAUGAAUACUAACUGUCCGGGCAGAAUGAUGCCUGG